UAGGGAAUCUUCGGCAAUGGACGAAAGUCUGACCGAGCAACGCCGCGUGAGUGAAGAAGGUUUUCGGAUCGUAAAACUCUGUUGUUAGAGAAGAACAAGGACGUUAGUAACUGAACGUCCCCUGACGGUAUCUAACCAGAAAGCCACGGCUAACUACGUGCCAGCAGCCGCGGUAAUACGUAGGUGGCAAGCGUUGUGCGGAUCUAUUGGGCGUAAAGCGAGCGCAGGCGGUUUCAUAAGUCUGAUGUGAAAGCCCCCGGCUCAACCGGGGAGGGUCAGUGGAAACUGGGAGACUUGAGUGCAGAAGAGGAGAGUGGAAUUCCAUGUGGAGCGGUGAAAUGCGUAGAUAUAUGGAGGAACACCAGUGGCGAAGGCGGCUAUCUGGUCUGUAACUGACGCUGAGGCUCGAACGCGUGGGGAGCAAACAGG
rnacentral:rRNA from 1 species